UACGUAGGGUGCGAGCGUUAAUCGGAAUUACUGGGCGUAAAGCGUGCGCAGGCGGCUUGCCAAGUCAGAUGUGAAAGCCCCGGGCUCAACCCGGGAACUGCGUUUGAAACUGGCAGGCUAGAGUUUGGCAGAGGGGGGUGGAAUUCCACGUGUAGCAGUGAAAUGCGUAGAGAUGUGGAGGAACACCGAUGGCGUAGGCAGCCCCCUGGGCCAAAACUGACGCUCAGGCACGAAAGCGUGGGGAGCAAACAGG
rnacentral:rRNA from 1 species